rnacentral:rRNA from 1 species
CAGUCGCCGCGGGAAUACAGAGGAUGCAAGCAUUAUCCGGAAUGAUUGGGCGUAAAGCGUCUGUAGGUGGCUUUUCAAGUCCGCCGUCAAAUCCCAGGGCUCAACCCUGGACAGGCGGUGGAAACUACCAAGCUGGAGUACGGUCGGGGCAGAGGGAAUUUCCAGUGGAGCGGUGAAAUGCGUUGAGAUCGGAAAGAACACCAACGGCGAAAGCACUCUGCUGGGCCGACACUGACACUGAGAGACGAAAGCUAGGGGAGCAAAUGGGAUUAGAGACCCCCGUAGUCCCUGUCUCUUAUAC